rnacentral:rRNA from 1 species
GACGAACGCUGGCGGCGUGCUUAACACAUGCAAGUCGAACGAUGAAACCUAGCUUGCUAGGUCGAUUAGUGGCGAACGGGUGAGUAACACGUGACUAACCUGCCCCUUUCUCUGGGAUAACGCUCCGAAAGGAGUGCUAAUACCGGAUACUCACAUCGAGGCACAUGCCUUGGUGUGGAAAGUUUUUCGGAAAGGGAUGGAGUCGCGGCCUAUCAGCUUGUUGGUGAGGUAACGGCUCACCAAGGCGACGACGGGUAGCCGGCCUGAGAGGGCGACCGGCCACACUGGGACUGAGACACGGCCCAGACUCCUACGGGAGGCAGCAGUGGGGAAUAUUGCACAAUGGGCGCAAGCCUGAUGCAGCGACGCCGCGUGAGGGAUGAAGGUCUUCGGAUUGUAAACCUCUUUCAGUAGGGACGAAGCGAAAGUGACGGUACCUAAAGAAGAAGCACCGGCUAACUACGUGCCAGCCGCCGCCGUAA